rnacentral:lncRNA from 1 species
AUUCCGAGAUUGUGUGCUGAGGGUUUUCAACUGCAUCUCUAAAGGGAAGGCCAAAGAAAGAGCAACAGGAAAGGAUGUGGCAGUCUGUUAAAGAAAUACUUCAUUGUCACUGAACACAGAGUCAUUAAAGGCACCUUGGAAAUUUGGACCCUUUUACUAGAAUCAGGGCUUAAAUAGCAACUUAAUUUAUGACACUUCUCGAGGCUGAUGGCGUUUUUGCUCUAAGACCUGCCUUGCAAGAAAUGUUAAAAGAAGUGCUUUAGAGAGCAGGGAAAUUCUAUAGGUCAGACACUUGGAUCUACAUAAAAAAAGGAAGAAACCAAAGGAGAAAUAAGUGAAGGGGCUUGAAGAAGAUAUCUAGAAAUGUCAAAGCAGAAGAGCCUCGGAGAUAAUCUGAACUAUUUCUGAGUUUAUAUAAGGGAAAACUGAGACUGGAGAGAACUAACAUGUCUAAUAUUACAAUGGAAACUUGUAAUAAAACCACAAAUUGAGUCAAGUCUCCUGA